rnacentral:rRNA from 1 species
UUGAAAAGAACUUUGAAGAGAGAGUUCAAGAGUACGUGAAACCGUUCAGGGGUAAACCUAAGAGACCCAAAAGAUCGAACGGGGAGAUUCAUCGUCGGCGACGCUGGCUUCGCGUCGGUGGGCGAUGUCCCGCGGGGCCUCGCGGCCCGCGCGCGGGCACGCCGCCGCGCGUCGAUGCCCGGCGUCCGUCGUCGUGCACUUCUCCCCCAGUAGAACGUCGCGACCCGCUGGGUGUCGGUCUACGGCCCGGGUGCGGUGUCUGCGGUGUCGCCGCCAAAAACGGCGCGCCGUCAAACCCCCGGUCGCCCGGCCGGCUGCCCGGCGGUACGCGCAAGGUAUCAGGCCGCACCGUCCCCGUCGCGCGAGCGCGCGCGCGCGCGCGCUGGCCCCUCCCGGGGUCACGCCGCGCCGCGCGCCGCCGACGUCGCGCGUGCGUCGAGGCCGUCGCAAGCGCGCGCCACGGACACGGAGGCUAACGGACCCAGCGCCGUCCCCGUGCCUGGCCCGCUGUUGGCUCGCACGGCUAACCUUCGACAGGCCCGCGAACGUUCCCCGCGCGCGCUUCGCGCGCGCGCCGGGGUUCCGAUACCGGUCGGCGACGCUACUGCUUUGGGUGCUCUUAGGACCCGUCUUGAAACACGGACCAAGGAGUCUAACAUGUACGCGAGUCAUUGGGACUCGGCGAGAUACCUAAAGGCGCAAUGAAAGUGAAGGUCGGCCCCGGUCGUCGACCGAGGGAGGAUGGGCCGCGUCGCGACGCGGCCCCGCACUCCCGGGGCGUCUCGUUCUCAUCGCGAGAAGAGGCGCACCCAGAGCGUACACGUUGGGACCCGAAAGAUGGUGAACUAUGCCUGGUCAGGACGAAGUCAGGGGAAACCCUGAUGGAGGUCCGUAGCGAUUCUGACGUGCAAAUCGAUCGUCGGAACUGGGUAUAGGGGCGAAAGACUAAUCGAACCAUCUAGUAGCUGGUUCCCUCCGAAGUUUCCCUCAGGAUAGCUGGCACUCGGCCGUUCCGCACGGAACGCGCGCGAGUCUCAUCUGGUAAAGCGAAUGAUUAGAGGCCUUGGGGCCGAAACGACCUCAACCUAUUCUCAAACUUUAAAUGGGUGAGAUCUCUGGCUUUCUUGAACUAUGAAGCCACGAGCAUCUUCGGAUCAGAGUGCCAAGUGGGCCAUUUUUGGUAAGCAGAACUGGCGCUGUGGGAUGAACCAAACGCGGAGUUAAGGCGCCCAACUCGACGCUCAUGGGACACCAUGAAAGGCGUUGGUUGCUUAAGACAGCAGGACGGUGGCCAUGGAAGUCGGAAUCCGCUAAGGAGUGUGUAACAACUCACCUGCCGAAGCAACUAGCCCUGAAAAUGGAUGGCGCUGAAGCGUCGAGCCUAUACUCCGCCGUCAGCGGCAAGUGGGGCCGGCCGCGCGCGCGCGCGCGCCCUCGGGUGCGCGUCGCGCGCGCGCGCCGCCACGAGGCCCUGACGAGUAGGAGGGUCGCGGCGGUGUGCGCAGAAGGGUCU